UACGAAGGUCCCAAGCGUUGUUCGGAAUCACUGGGCGUAAAGCGUGCGUAGGCGGCAUGGUAAGUCAGAUGUGAAAUCUUUGGGCUCAACCCGGAAACUGCAUCCGAUACUGCCAUGCUGGAGUAAUGGAGGGGUAGCUGGAAUUCUCGGUGUAGCAGUGAAAUGCGUAGAUAUCGAGAGGAACACUCGUGGCGAAGGCGAGCUACUGGACAUUUACUGACGCUGAGGCACGAAGGCCAGGGUAGCGAAAGGG
rnacentral:rRNA from 1 species